CAACAGGGAUUGCCUUAGUAACUGCGAGUGAAGCGGCAAAAGCUCAAAUUUGAAAUCUGGGGCCUCACAGCCUCCGAAUUGUAAUUUCACGAUACGUUUUCGACUGAAGGCUCUGCUUUAAGUUCCUUGGAACAGGACGUCACAGAGGGUGAGAAUCCCGUGAUAGGUGGAGCCUGAUGCAUAUGAUACGUAUUCAACGAGUCGAGUUGUUUGGGAAUGCAGCUCAAAAUGGGAGGUAAAUUUCUUCUAAAGCUAAAUAUUGGCGAGAGACCGAUAGCGCACAAGUAGAGUGAUCGAAAGAUGAAAAGCACUUUGAAAAGAGAGUUAAAAAGUACGUGAAAUUGUUGAAAGGGAAGCGCUUGAGACCAGACUCAAUCUGUAGUGAUCAAUUUGGCUUCUGUCAGAUGCACUUGCUACUUAUUGGGACAGCAUCGGUUUUGGCGGUGGGAUAAAGUCUUGAGGAAUGUAGCUAUCUUCGGGUAGUGUUAUAGCCUCUUGAGUAAUGCCACCAGCUGGGACCGAGGACCGCGCCGCAAGGCUAGGAUGCUGUCAUAAUGGUCUUCAGCGACCCGUCUUGAAACACGGACCAAGGAGUCUAACAUCUAUGCGAGUGUUCGGGUGGAAAACCCUUGCGCGUAAUGAAAGUGAACGGAGGUGGGAACCUUAGGGUGCACCAUCGACCGAUCCUGAUGUCUUCGGAAGGAUUUGAGUAUGAGCAUAGCUGUUGGGACCCGAAAGAUGGUGAACUAUGCCUGAAUAGGGUGAAGCCAGAGGAAACUCUGGUGGAGGCUCGCAGCGGUUCUGACGUGCAAAUCGAUCGUCAAAUUUGGGUAUAGGGGCGAAAGACUAAUCGAACCAUCUAGUAGCUGGUUCCUGCCGAAGUUUCCCUCA
rnacentral:rRNA from 1 species